rnacentral:lncRNA from 1 species
CACAGCGGCCUUGGGUUUGGGCUCCAGCCCCAGCCGGGCCCCCUCGCGCCGCUGCGGCUGCUGCGCGGUGAGGUCGUGACAAGUCACAGCUAACUUGCCCUCCGCGCCAUUCCACGCCACCAGGAAGCGCAGCCGGUGCCUCUCGGCAUCGGCGAAGAGGCCUUGCCGGACCGGCGCCCAGCCCUCCAGGCUGUCGAGCUGCUCGUCCUCCAUGGCCGUCGGCGGCAGCGGCCCUAGGACUCGGCGGGCGCGGGCCUGACCUCGUCGCACUGCCUGUCAGGGGACAGUCCCAGGCUGGAGUGCAAUGGCAUGAUCUCGGCUCACUGCGACCUCUGCCUCUUGGGUUCAAGCGAUUUUCUUGCCUCAGCCUUCGCAGUAGCUGGGAUUACAGGUGCGCACCAACAUGCCUGGCUAAUUUUUGUAUUUUUAGUAGAGACAGCGUUUCACCAUGUUGGCCAGGCUGGUCUCUAACUCCUGACCUCAGGUGAUCCACCCGCCUCAGCCUCCCAAAGAGUUGGGAUUACAGGCUGAGCCACUGCACCCGGCCUUAAAUGCAUUUUCGGCUUAUAUUUUCAACUGAUGAUGAGCUAUAACUCCUUUGUGAGUUGAGGAUCAUCUGUCUUGAAUUUGGUUUUACAGGCAUAACUGAAGGUGAAAGGACAGAAUCACCGUGUGUUACUGGCACAGAUGCAUCGGCUAGUGAAGAAAGAAGACAUUCAAACUGGCUGAAGCAGUGCCUACUCAAUAGAACCAGUCAUCGUGCAAAGACAUGCCACCUGACUCAAAGGCAAAGCCAGAGUGCAGCUUGGAGCAAAGAAGUCAGGUUUUCCUUGUUCCUGCGUGUUCAGCCAUUUGUUUUUAAGUUUGUGUUGAAGGAGAAACUAACAACGAAAAUGGACUUGUUGACGGAAGAAAAGUAGGAAUGCAGCCUCUGGUGCUGUUUGAGUGAUCCCUCUGCCCCAGGCCUGGCUGCGCGCUGCUGUGUUCUGGAAAGGCGCAUUGUGCCCUCGCUGUGGCAGGUAAGAGUCCUGUACAGGUGCUCUGCCCACUUUACCUUUCAGGCUUCUGUAUCAGCUGUUUUUCCCUUGUAGAAUGUGCCCCUGACCUGUGCCCCUGACUUCCACCCCUUAACCCUGCCCAAUACAUCUUUACAUGUCUGACCAUCAAGACUCUUCUGGGUCAUAUUCAGUUCAUGCUGAUAUUUUCCCUUCCUCCCCUCUUUAGUCCUUACUAUUUUUGCUUUGGUCAUGUUAUGCUAUAUUCUGUAAGCCUUUAAAAAUUUUGUUGUAUCAUGGCAGGGGAGAAUAUUUUAUAAUUAUGCUUUGUGCGUUUUAUCUUCCACUCAAUGAAUGCUUGGUAAAUAUUUGUUUUAUUGAGUAUAUGACCCUUUUCUAGCUAUACCGUGAACAAAAAUGUUAACUGCCUUGUACGUUAACUGCUAAGAAUUUGUCAAAAGUGCAGAGAUGACAUCCAGAACUUGUCAGAAUAUUACAAAAAGGUCUCUAAGGGCAUGAUGGAGGUCUGUAAAUUGACUUCAUGUGAAAGAGUGUAAGAAGUGAAAAUGUGAAGCAUGACUGGAGAGCCGGAGUGAUAAAGCAAGGGUCCCUUUCUCUAGAUCCUUUGUAACAGUGUCAUGUGACCUCUUCUAGAUCAUUCUGAAAGACAAUGCCAGCUCGGAACCUAGGAAAGCAUCCAGUGGGUUUCUGCAUGUUAGGUGGUUCAAAUCCUCAUUAGCACCUUUGUUUUCUCUGCCUCAGUUUGCUUACAGUGAUGUUCUCAGUAGCUGUAAUUGCUGUCUGUCUUUGAAUAUUUAAGCAUUUUUUUUUUUUAGAUCACAGGGUAUAUGUGCAUUUUUAUUUUACCAAGUGUUAGAAUUUUUACUCUGCCUUUGUGGGCUCUGGGUUAGCUACUUGGCUGUUUCAUCGUAAAAUGAUUAGCAGGAAAAACUGUGUGUGUGUGUGUGUGUGUGUGUGUGUGUGUGUGUGUGUGUGCACGUGUGUAUUUUAAGUUUCUUAAUUGGGUUGGUACAUGUAAACCAUUUAGAACAGUGCCUGCUGCAUAUCACAUCCCCAUCAGUAUUCACGUCUCUCAUAUUCUACCCUCACACUUGAUUGAUAGUUUGCUUGAUUACGUAUUUCUAGGUUGAGGAUAAUUUUACCUUAGAAUUUCAAAGUCUGUGCUGUUGUCUUCUAACCAGUCGUGGUGGCGAAGCCUCAUGCCAUCCUGAGUUUCACUUGUUUAUGCAUGACUUUCUCCCUGGAAGCUUUUAGGAGUUUGUCUUUUCCUUGGUGAGCUGAAAUAGCACAACAGUGUACUUAGUGUGGGUCUUUUUUCAUUCAUUAUGCUGGGUACACCAAAUGAACAGGCCUAUGGAUAGGCUCUUUCAAAGUUGGAGUCUUGAAUCUUGUCAUAUUUUUGUUGUUAACUUUCUCUUUUCCAUUUUAUUUGUUCAUUUGGAAGUGUCUGUUAAUUGGAUUUGAGACCUCUUGUCUUGAGUCUUAUAUCUCACGUUAUUUCUAAAUGUUUUUUAAAUUUUCAGUUCUGGAAUAUUUUCUUAUCUUUCGACUUUCAGGAAAUUUUAUUUGGACUGUCAUAACUUUAAGUUUUGUUUUGGUUAUUUAUUGUUGCUUAACCAAUUAUCCCAAAACUUAAUGGCCUAAAACUACACAUCUGUCUAUCUGUCACGACUGUAUGGAUUACCUGGGGCUAGCUGGACAGUUUUUCUGCUGGUCUCAUUUGGCAGCUCUCACUGUGUGGUUAAACAGUGUCAGGGACUGGUCAUCUGGAUGCUCAGCUGCAGUGGAAUGUCUGAGACGGCUUCUUUACCCACAGGUCUGCUGCCUUGGUAAUUCUUGAUGUGGCCUUUCUCUCUGCAUAGCAUCUCAUCCUCUCGGAUCUCUUCAUGUGGCUUUUCUUUCUCCAAGAAGGUAGCCAAUUCUUAUUUUUGGCUUCCAGAAGCACAGAAAUGGAGCUGCCAGGAGUUCUUAAGGCUUAGACCUGGAACAGGUCCAGUGUCAUUUCUACCACAUGCUAUAGGUUAAAGUGAGUGUUGGGGCCAACCCAGAUUGACUAUGGGAUGGGCCUGUCUGAGGACAUGAUGACAGGAGGUAUGGCUCAUUGGAGACCAACUCCCAAGAUGGAGCAUGAGUUCUAAGAACUUUUUCUUCUCUGAUUAUUUCUUAUUCAUAUUGUUUUGUUUUAUACAUGUAAUAUAUUCACAAGUGUCUUUAUGAAGUGAUUUUGAUACUC